CCUUAUUUAGAUUAUUGUUUAAUACAUAUUGAAUUAUAUCAUCUUUAUAUUUUACAAAUCAUAUAAAAUAAGCACAUGCUAAUUAUUUUUUAAUCAUUCCAAUGCUUUUUUGAGAAUUAUUUUUCCACGUGCAUAUGAGUUGCUUCACGCUACACUUGACACUUUGUGAUAUUUUCCGGAUCAACAACCGACAUCAAUUACAUACUGCAAUACGGUUUAAGCAAACAUGAAAAAACCGCGAUCUAGUGCGAGUUUCAGUUUAAUUUAUCAGUGGAAAGUUCGAAUUAUCGAAGUUAGUCCUCAACAACAAAAAGUCGGUGUUUAUCGAAGCAGGGUUUCUGCCACACGGAGAUUAUGGACAUGGAAAAAGCUGGCAGUAGAAACGCUUUGAUCAAGAAUGUUCCUGAGAAGACACGAAGGAGACAUUAUGGGGAUUUCAUCAUUGUUCGCAUGGAUGCUCAGGAGUGCCCAGGAACCCGGACCUGGCAUACGAAACCUGAUAAUACUCGGGAGUGAAUCUGAUCCUGGAAGAUGGAGCAGCAAUAGGAGCGGGUGCAACCGAAACAAAAUUCGUCGGCCAAAAAACUACCAGAAUUCGCGAACCAAACUGCAGGAGGAACUUACCCGGGUACCUACUGAAAUGAUUAUUUGCACUAAUCUUUGUUUAAUUGAAUGUGAUGUGCAAUUAUUUGAUGAAUCAGCAAAAUAAAAAGUAUCCAUUGAUUAGUUUCAUUUCCA
rnacentral:lncRNA from 1 species